AAAAGGAAGCCUCCCAACAAGAGGGCAGGAAACGAAACUGAUGGCCUAGAAACCGAAACUUGGGGUCCAGUUGGCCGUCAAAGGGAAAACGGGGGCAGGUCAACAGGAGCGGGGGAGACGCAACCAACAGGAGCCGGGCGCAUAUUUAGCGUUUUCAGAAGGGCUUCGGUCCUACACUGGCCCUGCCUCGCUCAAGUCAGUAACUAUUUGAGCCAGCCCCUGUCUUUGCUGGCUGAAUCUGGAGGAUUGUUUUGUCCAAAAUAGCGUCGUAUCAUCUUUUUUUACCUCUGCUUUGGCUGGAGAUAUACUUAGAACUACAUCAAAAGUCAUUCAUCAUCUGUGACCAUGAAUAUGUUUUAUUUUUAUAUUUUCUUUCCUGCGCUGAAGUGUUUUCUCCCCAAGGAAUGUUUUCUUUCGUGUGUAUAUCACAGAAGAUUUUUAUUUUGAGGCAUUUUUGACUAGAUCCUUGAAUUGCUCCAAGACCAGGACACGAUAUGCAACUGGCAUGCUAUUUUCCUGUAUUGUUGCAAUAACAGCAUAGGGGCCUGCUUCAUUCUACCCAACCACAGAACUAUUUUCAGGCCUAUUUUGGCUAGCAACCUGAAACGGACACCUUGUGCAAGUUUGCAAUCUUUUCAUACAGUCACUCGGGGGGAGGGGGGGAAUGAAGACUCUUUUUAUUAUUCCAGUUUCUUUGCCUAGCAUCAGCUUCCACUGAACAUGAACAGGAUGAAUUUUGUGCAAGCCAUCCCACAGUAUGCUUCACGACCAUAAUAUUGUUUUAUUUCCAUUGACACAUUGAAUGUAAUUACUUAUGCAUUGUCCUUUAAGGAUGUGUUGUUGUUAUUGUUUUCCUUUUAUAUGUAUGGCUAUUUUGUUCUUUAGAUGUUUUUGCUUUUCAAAUUCCUCUGAGUGAUUCUGUAAUAGGGGUUUACUGAAUUUGGUUAUUUCAGAUGUGAGGUUCAUCAGUGUAGAGUUUGGCCCCUUUGUUUACUUUCUCACUCUGUCAUAACAAUGGUUAAGAAUAGGUAACAAUUAAAGUGAAUGGAUGACAAUACCAUAGGAAUUUAGGAUUUGUUUGUGAAAAUGAUAAGUUUGGAAUCCCAUCAAGAUUGCUUUCUCUCAAAAUGUUUAUUGUAUUUUAUUGUGUUUUCACGCUAAGUAUUGAUUGUAUACUAUGUAUAUGGGUGCGUGUGCCUUAGAACAUUAUUGUGAUUAUGUUGUUAUUGAUAAGUACUAUAUACAAACUAGGCUAACAUACAUCAAUAGAUGCUUGUGGUAUUAAGGAAUAGUAGGGUGUGAUUUUUCAUUUAAAGUGCCUGUAUGGACCCUCCAGAAAAAAAUUAGUUAAUCCAGAUUUUUUAAACACCUCAAACCCACAAUCCCCAGCUUUGGUCAUGGCCUAACUGAUCUCCAGAAGUUACUUUCUCAUCCUAUGUACAGAAACAAUUAGAAGCAGUUAAACCAAUGGGGGAGCAAGCUACACCCUAGAUAGCACGAUUGCCAUACAGUCAUUUACAUUAUAGAUAAGCACUCACAGAUAUAGACACAUGGAUGAUUUGGAAUUCCCUGUGUGGCCGGGGUAAGGGCGCCAGAGGAGAUUUAACCCUUAUCAUACACCCCAUUGUGGUGAUUUUGAAUUCUGAUCUUUGUCUAAUUAGCCCUUGUAAUGUGUUUCCAUCUCAUAUGGCACAGUCACACCCUGGAAGUCAGCAUUGGAGCCCAGGGGCAGAUCUGUGAAAGGACGGCUGUGUAUAUCUGCCUUCUAGCUAUAGCAGGGGGGAGUGAUAUGGCUUGGCUAACCCCAUUUUGGUUCAAGUGGAACCCAGGAGGUGCAAGACCAAGAGCUAUAACUCCCACCCCAUUCUCACACACCCCCAUCUAAUGGCUGGUAAUGCAUUCCAGAGGUUUUGUGCGCAGGAAAAACGAGGGCAGAAUUAAAUGCUAUUGCAUAAAUGUUAUCUUAUUCCUUGGCGGAUACAUCCCACCCACAGUGAAUCCCAUUGUUCUUUAGAAGGAGCUUUAGUGUUUUAGUGUCAAUUAGAAGCACACAUACAGAUACACCCACGCACCAUUUACCCUACAAGCCAGAACAGCUGGGGUUUCUGAAAUGUUACACACAUGGUACUCACCUUACUUUGGAUCAUGGCAGGAUGGACCUCACUAUCCCAGACCAAUGCCUGGCCCCUUUCUCCUUAACCUUAAGUUCAAGCGAACUCCCUUUUAUCCACAAGUAGUUAAAUUCAGCCAGCUGAUUGAUCCAUGGGCUCAAUCAGGGCUGAAAAUGGGGGAAUUGUUAGGAAAUAUUUUAUUGCUAGACCCCAAAAGUUGUUCAGAGAUGCUAAGUUGUAGUCAGAGCCAGUUUCAUUUCUUCCCAUGAGAAAUAACACCCAAAGGCGCCUCUCUGGCUAGAAUAAUAAUAAUCUUGGAAAGAAGAUAAAGUGUACCCCCCCUCUGGAAUGUUAUUAUUUUCUCUUGCCUUGUUUUACUUUAUACACCCUGUACACUGUAACUUUAUGUCAUACCCAGCACAAAGAACGAAGUCUUCCCUAAUAUCUUCCUUAUUCAUAAGUUUUACAUCACACAGCUGAGUAAAUAACUUCUACUAGCCCCAUGUUUAUCUUCCACCAAGUGUCAAAGUAACUCUAAUACUCGCUUUUCCUCAGUUCUUAUCUCACAUUAAGUUUCUUAGAUUGACAAAUAUAUGAAUUCCUUAUCACCUCCUUGCCUUUUAGAAUUAUGAGUAAUGUAACAGAGAUGAAGACGCGCUUGCUUUAUCUAUGUAACACUGUAUUCCCUUCUUGUUAUGAUUUUGCAACAAUACCUUGUUUUGCUUAUGAACCCUAUUUAAUGAACCUGCAAUCAAUAAACGUUGCUCUUUGCCCUGACAGACCCCUGUCUGUGCAGAGCAGAGACCCCUCUUGAUCAAGCAGCUGUGUGUGUGUCUAUUCCAUGUUUAUUUUAUGUUUAUUGGUAUCUGGCUGAACCACUGAAACAGGCAAAUUAAAUUGCUAAAGCUCGCACUCCUAUUUUAAGGCUGAGGGGUGCGCUAACUCUCCCUUCUUGGGGAGGGGGCUUAAAUUUGAACCCUACAGAGGUGAGAGAAGUGCUCAGCAAUGAAUGAA